rnacentral:lncRNA from 1 species
AUUCAGAAUGGCCAAUAUGUACCAAAAUGAGAUAGAAAUGCAUCAAACAAAUAUUGAGCUAAUAUCUUUGCUUCAUUACAAUCAAUUCAUUACAUCUCCCAAAUUAUAAUUAUAAUUUUUUUCUAUUUAAGCAUCUUCUUGCACAGAGAUGGUUCCAAAGAAAUUUCAAACUUCCUCAACAAACCAGAAAUCACUUGAAUGGCUCUCGGUUGCAUCGGAGGAUCAUACCACAUGAAAUACUCGCAACCAUGAGGCUGUAAAAAAAGAAUUUUUUUCGGCAAAAAACACUUUUAAUCCACUGUGGUUUUAGUGUUUUAAGCAAUUAGUCAGUGUGCUUUUAAAAUAUUCAAUUGACCCACUGUGCUUUUUAAAAAUGUACAAUCAAGCCAUUUCGUCCAAUUUCUUGGACGGACGUUAAAUAAUUACACACGUGGCAUUGAAAAAAAAAUUAAAAAAUUAUUAUUUUCUGAUGUGGCAAGCCAGUCAGCCAAAUUCUUAAUACUAUUGAGCCAUUGCACUUUAAAAAAACACAAUUAGCCCACUGUGGUUUUAAAAAUAUUUUUAUGUUUUAUUUUCUUU